AUUGAACGCUGGCGGCAGGCCUAACACAUGCAAGUCGAGCGGAUGAAGGGAGCUUGCUCCUGGAUUCAGCGGCGGACGGGUGAGUAAUGCCUAGGAAUCUGCCUGGUAGUGGGGGAUAACGUCCGGAAACGGGCGCUAAUACCGCAUACGUCCUGAGGGAGAAAGUGGGGGAUCUUCGGACCUCACGCUAUCAGAUGAGCCUAGGUCGGAUUAGCUAGUUGGUGGGGUAAAGGCCUACCAAGGCGACGAUCCGUAACUGGUCUGAGAGGAUGAUCAGUCACACUGGAACUGAGACACGGUCCAGACUCCUACGGGAGGCAGCAGUGGGGAAUAUUGGACAAUGGGCGAAAGCCUGAUCCAGCCAUGCCGCGUGUGUGAAGAAGGCCUUCGGAUUGUAAAGCACUUUAAGUUGGGAGGAAGGGCAGUAAGUUAAUACCUUGCUGUUUUGACGUUACCAACAAAAUAAGCACCGGCUAACUUCGUG
rnacentral:rRNA from 1 species